CCCCACAAGCAAAUCCACCAAAAGAAAGAUCAGUGAUUUGGUGUAUGUUGUGAAAAAGAAAAGGAUGUUUGCGAGGGCGGAGUGAUUAGUGGAGGUGGUGAGGGCGGGACCCAAAAGAGUGUUGUGGAUGCAAAAUAUCAUUUCCUGUGUGAGUUCCGAAUCAAAAUCCCGCAGAGCAAAGAGCAGCCCGUGAUCUGCUACUUCUCACCACACAGUUUCACAACUCAUCUGGUGUAUCUGUGAUGACUCAAUCCAUGUCGCACAAGCCUCUGGACUCGCGCCACUCCAUAGACUCCUGCAUGUUGCAGCUCCGCAGCUGGAAACCCUUCAAGCUCCAAGAUGGGCCCCACCCCAAACCCUACUACUACAAGCGCCCCUGCCUCUCCGAUCGCGCAACCACGUCCUUUUCCCUCGACAUCACCAAACUCACCCUAGCCGACGCCGAUGACAACACCGCCGCAAACAACCCCAACCAUCGCGCCACCAAUUACCGACUUGUCGCCCGCAAGAGGCGCCGCCGCGGCUCUAGAUCUGUGUCCGGCCGCAGCAGCGACCGGAGUGGCACGCGGCGCUGCUGCUCAGUCGGGGCAUCCGCCGCUUAUGGCACCUGCUCCGACUUCCCGGUGGCCAUGGGCACUGACUCCAGCGGUGAGCUCUUCGGCAACGGCGAUUCGAAUUGGUCUUCGGAUGUUAGCGAGGCGAAGAAUUCGAGGAGGGAGAGAGAGAGGGAUGGCGAGAGGGAGAACGUAGGUGUGGGGUUUGGGGUGAGUGGGUGUUCUGACGCGAAUGGGAAUGAAUCGGGGUAUGGGAGUGAACCGGGUUAUCGUGGGGAUGCUGAGUUUGGAUAUGGCGAUGAGUUUGAUGAAGAAGAAGAUGAUCCCAGGUUGUUGUUUUGGGGCGAUCAAUUUGGAGGUGGAUACUGCUUGAUUCUGAAGUUGUAAUAUUCCAAAUAUUGGCUUUCCUGAGCCUCUGUUGCACGUGACUCGGACACACAAACCAAUACGUCAUGCAAAAGUUGCUAAGUUGAAAGAUUCUAAAAGGGAGAUGGUUGGGGAGAACACCUUGCUAGAUCAAAAAUCUCAUCAUAGAUGCCGUCGCAGGAAGCAUGACUGUAGAAUGGUUGAUGCAUUAAGGUGACUAUUGCAGAAAUCUGUGGACUAUCGACAUGACAGAAUUUUCUCUUUCCUUCAAUAGUGGAUGAACUGGCUUCUUUUGUGCAUGAAUCCUUGACCAAGUGGUUUUGGUGUUUGUUCUCAGGGUGACCUAUUUGCCAAGUCAAUCGGAAAGGAUUUUGGCAAAUAUGAAAAUAUGAUGUAUUGAUGAGGUAUCAAUCAGCUUCUGUAGAUUUUGAUCGAAAUAUGAAGUGAUGUACUUUCGGUUAUGAUUUGUGAAGAGGAAAGUAUGUACAAGGAUUGAGAUAUGGUUAUUUGUUUGGGAUAGGAAUGAGUUUUUAAUCUGAAUCAUACAAAUUUCAUAGAACACAGAUGAAAAAAUCUCUUGAACCUGUGCUAGCAUGUUGGCUUUCGUUUGAAAAAUGUAAAUGAACUAAUAGCCUGCUAUUGAUAUUUUUGAGUUUUGAUAGCAAAUCUAUAUUGCUGUAAAGUUUAA